rnacentral:rRNA from 1 species
AGUGAACGCUGGCGGCAGGCCUAACACAUGCAAGUCGAGCGGCAGCACAGUAAGAGCUUGCUCUUACGGGUGGCGAGUGGCGGACGGGUGAGGAAUACAUCGGAAUCUACUUUUUCGUGGGGGAUAACGUAGGGAAACUUACGCUAAUACCGCAUACGACCUACGGGUGAAAGCAGGGGAUCUUCGGACCUUGCGCGAUUGAAUGAGCCGAUGUCGGAUUAGCUAGUUGGCGGGGUAAAGGCCCACCAAGGCGACGAUCCGUAGCUGGUCUGAGAGGAUGAUCAGCCACACUGGAACUGAGACACGGUCCAGACUCCUACGGGAGGCAGCAGUGGGGAAUAUUGGACAAAGGGCGCAAGCCUGAUCCAGCCAUACCGCGUGGGUGAAGAAGGCCUUCGGGUUGUAAAGCCCUUUUGUUGGGAAAGAAAAGCAGCAGGUUAAUACCCCGCUGUUCUGACGGUACCCAAAGAAUAAGCACCGGCUAACUUCGUG